rnacentral:rRNA from 1 species
UCUCCUGGAAACGGGUGGUAAUGCCGGAUGCUCCGACUCCUCGCAUGGGGUGUCGGGAAAGAUUUCAUCGGUAUGGGAUGGGGUCGCGUCCUAUCAGGUAGUCGGCGGGGUAACGGCCCACCGAGCCUACGACGGGUAGCCGGCCUGAGAGGGCGACCGGCCACAUUGGGACUGAGAUACGGCCCAGACUCCUACGGGAGGCAGCAGUGGGGAAUAUUGCACAAUGGGCGCAAGCCUGAUGCAGCGACGCCGCGUGCGGGAUGACGGCCUUCGGGUUGUAAACCGCUUUUGAUCGGGAGCAAGCCUUCGGGUGAGUGUACCUUUCGAAUAAGCACCGGCUAACUACGUGCCAGCAGCCGCGGUAAUACGUAGGGUGCAAGCGUUAUCCGGAAUUAUUGGGCGUAAAGGGCUCGUAGGCGGUUCGUCGCGUCCGGUGUGAAAGUCCAUCGCUUAACGGUGGAUCUGCGCCGGGUACGGGCGGGCUGGAGUGCGGUAGGGGAGACUGGAAUUCCCGGUGUAACGGUGGAAUGUGUAGAUAUCGGGAAGAACGCCA